UACGGAGGGUGCAAGCGUUAAUCGGAAUUACUGGGCGUAAAGCGCACGCAGGCGGUCUGUUAAGUCAGAUGUGAAAUCCCCGGGCUUAACCUGGGAACUGCAUUUGAACCUGGCAGGCUUGAGUCUUGUAGAGGGGGGUAGAAUUCCAGGUGUAGCGGUGAAAUGCGUAGAGAUCUGGAGGAAUACCGGUGGCGAAGGCGGCCCCCUGGACAAAGACUGACGCUCAGGUGCGAAAGCGUGGGGAGCAAACAGG
rnacentral:rRNA from 1 species